AGCUUCAGUCAUCAUCAUCACAUUUAAAUCUGUUGAGGAUUGAGUUGGUGCAUUGUCAUGAUGGAUUUGACUUUUUUAUCGCCCAAUCAUAUUUGUUUAGAUUCCUUGCGAAUCCAAAAGUCAAUCGCCAUAAUCCCUCUGGCCUACUACUCGAUUCAAACGAAAGACAAACAGAAAUAAAUAAACUGAUCUGGCUGAAAGUUGUUGUGCGUUCUUCCAAGAGAUGCUACUAACUAAACAUAACCUCGAUUUGCGCCAGUAGUGCCAUCUCUCAGACUUUGUACGGACUUUUCAAACUACCCCCGUAAAAUAUUUCCUCCUCUAAGAAUGACUGGGUGUGAAUCUACCCACAUUGAGUUCUAAAGAAUAAUUUCUCGUGACUGCGUUGUCCAUUGAGUGAUAUUGCUCCAUAUAAUUUUUUGCUAAUUUAAGUGUGAUUUGUAGUUGUAAAAUUGAACAAAAUUCAAGAAAUGGUGAACAUUCCAAUUUAUUUUGUUAAUUUAUGUAUACAUAUUGUGCAACAUUUCAUAGGGAUAUUAGACUAAUUUUUUACUUAUUAUUCAAAUUUGUAGAAUGAGUUCAGAUACUGAAGAGUUCUAGCUAUACUCUAAAUCCUUUAUUUGAUUUAAGAGACUAAUAUUGACUCCAAUAUGGCCCCUUCAAAUAAAACAUGUUAAUUAAUUGUAUUGUGACGAUGAAUUUUUGCUAAUUUAAGUGUAAUUCGAGACACAGUCAAAGGGUACAACUAAGAAUAAUCCUUUUUAAAAGAAAUUCUUUGAAGAAUCUAUACUCCAUUUUGAAAAA
rnacentral:lncRNA from 1 species